rnacentral:rRNA from 1 species
UACGGAGGAUGCGAGCGUUAUCCGGAUUUAUUGGGUUUAAAGGGUGCGUAGGCGGGUUAUCAAGUCAGCGGUAAAAUCGUGGAGCUCAACUCCAUCCAGCCGUUGAAACUGAUGAUCUUGAGUGGGCGAGAAGUAAGCGGAAUUUCUAGUGUAGCGGUGGAAUGCUUAGAUAUUAGGAAGAACACCAGAGGCGAAGGCGGCUUACUGGACUGCAACUGACACUGAGGCUCGAAAGCGUGGGGAGCAAACAGG